UUUGUAUUUUUUUUUUUGGUGACGGAGUCUUGCUGUGUUGCCCAGGCUGGAGUGCAGUGGGCAGACCUCAGCUCACUGCAAGCUCUGCCUCCCGGGUUCACGCCAUUCUUUUGCCUCAGCCUCCCGACUACUAUUCUUCCUGUUUACAUUUGAUCACAGCCACAUGCGCCUCUUUGCUGUUCCAUGUACACACACAAAAUACUUCAGCCUCAGGGUCUCUGUAUUUGUUAUUUCCUCUGCUCAGAAGGGUCUUCUCCCAGGUACCUACAUGGGUUUGUUCCCUUAUUAUUUCUAGGUCUUUGUUCAAAUGACAUCUCUGUAGGGUAUUUCCUGACCAUACUAUUUAAAAAUAUCUCUCUUCUGCCUUACAAACACUUUUAUCACAUCAUUCCCACUUUCCCUGCCUUAUUUUCACCACAGAACUUUGGUCACUCUCUGCCAUACCAAAUAUAGUACCUACCAGAUUUUCUGUCCAUUCAUUCCAUCACUCACUCCUCUACCCACAAGAUUAGCAAGCUCCACGGGGGCUGGGAUAUAUCUUUUUUAUUCAGUGACAAUCUUCAGUACCUAAACAGUAAAUAAAUGUGUACCUCUCUACAUAUAAAUGUUUCAAAUCUAUUUUUAAUGUUGCUUGUCGAACAUUAACAUUUUCACACUUCCAGAAAUGACAUUAAUAAAAAUAUAAACAAAUUGACAUAAAAAUCUGUGUAGACUAAGCUAAAAUUUACAAACUCUUAAUACAAGGUACGUUUAAACUUUCUCAAUUAUGGGACAACAAAUAAUAGACUUCAUUGCUUCAUACUAAAAUGGUAUUUUUGACUAAUCACAAGGAAACUUAAACUACCAUAUAGUUAUAAUCACAGGUAUUCAGUCCAAAGAGGAAAAAAGUUUUCGUGGUACUAUGAGAACCUGUAUCUCUGAAAAUGUUAGCUCCAUAAGUGUAAGCACGCCCGAAGAUUAUAAGAUAAUAAAAUGUGGAAACAGGCAAACUAUGGGGUGAUUUGAUGUUUCUACCACUUGCUAAAGAUUUUCUUUAAUAGAAUCAUUCGUGCUAAGUGGAUAAAAGUUACAAAUUACAAAAGAUACAGAAUACAUCCAAUAAAAAAUCAGACUGAGGAAUAUUUAGUGUAAAACUGGCUUAAAAUUUUUUGUCAGCAGAAUUUCUCAACAUCUAACCCUAUAGCAAAUAAUACAAAUAACAAGGAGAUUCUUCAAGCAGUUGGCAUUUCUUCAAAACACAAAGGUCCAAUUAUAAGAAAAAUAUCACAUUAUUUAAAGUCCUACAGAAUUGGAGGAGAAUCUGUACUACUCAUGUUUUUGCAUAAAUUCCAUGAUUUAUAAAUAAAUAAACCCAAAAUAUAAAUUAUAAACAUUUAAUUUCAGUAUAAUGUAGACAAAAACAGCAGCUAACUUGUCAUCUUUCACAGUAAUUUUAACGUAAAAGGUUUAAACAUUUAUUUUGCCAAUAUAGUUUUCAUUGCAUAUAGGCUUAAAAAAAAAAAGACAUCCAAAAUACCUGAGAUGUAUUUUAUAAGUAAACAAAGAAAGAACAUAAACUUAAAUUUCUGGUGGAGGAGUUAGGUCUUCAUUAAAAGGGUUCAAGCUGUUAGUAAUAAAAUGGAAGUAAUCCCUUGACGUGUGUAAAAUAAAAUUUUUUAGUAGAUGGGAAUGUAUUGAUGAUAGUCUCUUAUUUCUUCUCCCAGAUAUGCAAGUGAUAUAUCUGAAUACUUACUAGAGCCAAAUCUAUCUCAAAAGUUUAGGUCAUUUUUUUUUCCUUUUUGAUAGUAUUCAACGAGAAAUAACACUUUAAAUAAAACUUUUUUCAUGAGGAAGGUACUGUAAUUAUCCACCUGCAAAAGGAAAAAAAUACAAUUUGAUUUAGAAUGUCAACUUCUAAAUAUAUAAAUAUAUUUAGAGAAAGAAUAAUUUAUGAAAGUAUAAUCUUGCUAAUCCAAGUAGGGCUAACUGAUGCAUGUAC
ensembl:lncRNA